AGAAAAAGCUGAUCUUCGAGAUAAAGAGCCUCAGUCUAUUAAAACAGAAAAGCCUAAGCCAUCUUCAAAAGGAACAUCUGAAGACACAGACUCAGGUAA